rnacentral:rRNA from 1 species
GAUGAACGCUGGCGGCGUGCCUAAUACAUGCAAGUCGAGCGAACAGAUGAGAAGCUUGCUUCUCUGAUGUUAGCGGCGGACGGGUGCGUAACACGUGGGUAACCUACCUAUAAGACUGGGCAAACUCCGGGAAACAGGGGCUAAUACCGGAUAAUACUUUGAACCGCAUGGUUCAAUAGGGAAAGGCGGUUUCGGCUGUCACUCUGAGAUGGACGCGCGCUGUAUUAGCUAGUUGGUAAGGUAACGGCUUACCAAGGCGACGAUUCGUAGACGACCUGGUAGGGUGAUCGGCCACACUUGAACUGAGACACGGUCCAGACUCCUACGGGGGGCAGCAGUAGGGAAUCUUCCGCAAUGGGCGAAAGCCUGACGGAGCAACGCCGCGUGAGUGAUGAAGGUCUUCGGAUCGUAAAACUCUGUUGUUAGGGAAGAACAAAUUUGUUAGUAACUGAACAAGUCUUGACGGUACCUAACCAGAAAGCCACGGCUAACUACGUGCCAGCCGCCGCAGUAA